rnacentral:lncRNA from 1 species
AAUUUCUUGUUUACAACUAUAUGUGCUAUACUAUUUAUUUUGUUCUAUACUAUUUGGGUUUAGAGUUUAUACUUGGGUUUAGGUUUAAUGAUUAAGAUUUAGGGUUUAGUAUUUGGAAGGUGGGGGUUGAUGUUUGGGUUUAGUGACCGUAUUAUGUAUGUUCUAUUUGACGAUUAAAAAAAAGUGUUUUUUUUUACUUACCAAUUUAUACUAUACUAUGUAUUUUGUUCCAUUCUAUUUGGGUUUAUACUCUAUACUUGGGUUUAGGGUUUAGUGACUAGGAUUUAGGGUUUAGUAUUUGGAAGGUGGGAGUUUAGAUUUGGGUUUAGUGAUAGCAUUUUUGGGUUUAGUAUUCAAAAGUUAGGUCUGAGUUUAGCAUUGAGGAGUUUUGUUUGGAUUUAGUUUAAUAUUAUAUAAUAUUAUAUACUAUUUUCAGAUUUUGAUAAUUGGGUUUAAAGUUUAUAUUUGGGUUUAGGGUUCAGUAAUUAGGGUUUAGGGUUUAGUAUUUAGAUGGAAGGGUGAUGUUUAAAGUUUAGGGUUUAUUAUUUUGGAGUUGAGGUUUGGAUUAAAGUUUAGUAUUUACUAGGUGUGAGUGGAUUUUGAAUCCUAUUAUUUUUAGUAAUAUGGUAUAGGAAAAUUAGAUGUAUAUUUAUGUGUUAAACAAAAGUGUGGUAUUGAUUGAAUUACGUGUGAUAAUUAAUUGUGGGGUGUCAAAUUGUUGAUGUCAUCAGUUUCUCUCUCUAUUACUGGCAACUUGAACAAAAAAGGGCAUUACCGGACAGAAAUUGACAUAAUUGUUAUGGGCUUUAUUAUGUCAAAAUCAAUGCUAUGCACUUAAUUUCCUUCUCAAAUUUGGUCAUUUGGCUAAUUCACCCAAAAAGGAUAUGGUGAUUUAUGAUUUCAAAGAAAAUUUCCCUUAUUAAAUUUAAUAUUAAUAAAAAUUGUUCAAAAUUCCAAAUUAUUCCAAAAUUUAGUUUGAAUUAUUUGGUAAGUGACUUCACGUAAGCUUUUAGUGCAUAGAAAUAUAUCUUAUGAAAUGGUAUUUGAUAAAAUUGAACGGGUCUUUCUUUCUUCGUUUGAACAUUCAUAUAUGCCACACACAAAAGAAUUUAUAAUCAUGGAGGAGAACAAGUUCAGAAGCUAUCACACACACACACACACACACAAAAAAAAAAAAUUGGAUUAUUUUUCUUAUCUUGAUAUUGUUAUGACCCAAUCUUUGCAUUUUGAACCUUUAAUGUCAUUUUGAAGAUAUGACCCAAUAAGAAAAUAUGGCCCAAUCUUUGACAUUUUGAACCUUCAGUGUCAUUUUGAAGAAGCAAGCUUUGUCUUUCAGUCUCGAGAUGGAAAUGGAGUGGCAAAUAUAGUAGCAAAGGAAUGUCUUUCAUUCUUGAAUUAUAUGCUCCUUAGUUGUAUCUGUAGUGUCAAAUUGGGUUAUAACACAAAUACAACAGGACAAUUAUUUGUAAUCUUCUAUUAAAAAGGUUGUGAGAGCAAGUUGAUAUCAGAAUUUUGCUAGACUCCAAGAAAAUGAGUGGUAAAACCUGAAAAAGGUGUUCCUCCGACAGGGAUUGAAGUCACAUGUCAACUAUAGUUUCAAAUCGAUGAAAUGUAUCUUUCAACACUGUAGUUUUGAUUAUAUUUUCCUAUUAGAUUCAAAAUCGAUGAAUAUUUAUCUAUCAUGUAGGUUAUUUCCUGCUAAUAUAAUGACAUUUUGUCUUUUAUUUAUCACCUUAGUUUUAUUUUUAUCUUAUUACUUUUAUAUUUUAAUUAUUAGUAUUAGUUGGGUCUUAAAUUUUAUAACCAGAAUCAGGUUGUGGAUUUAUAUAAGUAGUGACACCUUGACGUGUAUUACUGAAUACAAAGAGAUUUCAUCUUUUACAAUUUUUGUUACAACUACAACUGAGGUUAAACAGAAUUUUGAACAUUAACAAACUAAAUGAGAUACUGUUCAGGAAAAAACAAACAAACUAUAUGAGAUUUUUCGUUUCUACCUUCCGGUACUCUGUUUUUUUUUUUGUUGAAAGAGUUUACUGCACUAUUUUUUUGUUUUGAACUUAUAAUAUGGUUUCGACCGACUUAUGAGAUUUUUAUCAAUUCGAUUAUUAUUAUGAUCAAAAUACACUAUGUGUUCUUCCGAAAAGAGAAAUAUACAUACUACGUAAGAAACUAUCCAUCUUGCUGAU